CCAUGCGAGUCGACAUAGCAAUAUGUGGCAUACGGCUCAGUAACACGUAGUCAACAUGCCCAGGGGACGUGGAUAACCUCGGGAAACUGAGGAUAAACCGCGAUAGGUCAUCACUUCUGGAAUGGGUAAUGACUUAAACCUAUAUGGCCCCUGGAUUGGACUGCGGCCGAUCAGGCUGUUGGUGAGGUAAUGGCCCACCAAACCUGUAACCGGUACGGGCUCUGAGAGGAGGAGCCCGGAGAUGGGCACUGAGACAAGGGCCCAGGCCCUAUGGGGCGCAGCAGGCGCGAAACCUCUGCAAUAGGCGAAAGCUUGACAGGGUUACUCUGAGUGAUUUCCGUUAAGGAGAUCUUUUGGCACCUCUAAAAAUGGUGCAGAAUAAGGGGUGGGCAAGUCUGGUGUCAGCCGCCGCGGUAAUACCAGCACCCCGAGUGGUCGGGACGUUUAUUGGGCCUAAAGCAUCCGUAGCCGGUUCUACAAGUCUUCCGUUAAAUCCACCUGCUUAACAGAUGGGCUGCGGAAGAUACUAUAGAGCUAGGAGGCGGGAGAGGCAAGCGGUACUCGAUGGGUAGGGGUAAAAUCCGUUGAUCCAUUGAAGACCACCAGUGGCGAAGGCGGCUUGCCAGAACGCGCUCGACGGUGAGGGAUGAAAGCUGGGGGAGCAAACCGGAUUAGAUACCCGGGUAGUCCCAGCUGUAAACGAUGCAGACUCGGUGAUGAAUUGGCUUAUUGCUAAUUCAGUGCCGCAGGGAAGCCGUUAAGUUUGCCGCCUGGGGAGUACGGUCGCAAGACUGAAACUUAAAGGAAUUGGC
rnacentral:rRNA from 1 species